AAGAGAUUAGCUCAGUUGGUAAAGCUGUCGCUUUACACGCGAAAAGCUGACUCAGGUGUUCAAGUCACCUAUCUCUUA
rnacentral:tRNA from 1 species